GACGAACGUUGGCGGCGUGCUUAACACAUGCAAGUCGAACGGACAUGCCCUGCUUGCCGUGUACUCGAGUGGCGAACGGGUGAGUAACUCGCUGCCUCUCUGCACUGCCCUUCGGGAUAACCCUGGUAAACUGCGUCUAAUACCGGCCAGGCGCCCUUUUUAGCGUGCUGGUUGGAAAGUUUUUUCGGUGUAGGAUGAGCUCGCGGCCUAUCAGCUUGUUGGUUGGGUAAUGGCCUACAAAGGCGGCGACGGGUAGCCGGCCUGAGAGGGUGGACGGCCACAUUGGGACUGAGAUACGGCCCAGACGCCUACGGGAGGCAGCAGUGGGGAAUAUUGCACAAUGGGCGCAAGCCGGAUGCAGCGACGCCGCGUGGGGGAUGACGGACUUCGGGUUGGAAACUCCUUUCGCUAGGGACGAAGCUUUUUGUGACGGUACCUAGAGAAGAAGCACCGGCUAACUACGUG
rnacentral:rRNA from 1 species